UUUUGUGGAGGGUUCGAUUCUGGCUCAGGAUGAACGCUGGCGGCGUGCUUAACACAUGCAAGUCGAACGGGAUCCAAGCAGCUUGCUGUUUGGUGAGAGUGGCGAACGGGUGAGUAAUGCGUGACCGACCUGCCCCAUACACCGGAAUAGCUCCUGGAAACGGGUGGUAAUGCCGGAUGCUCCAACAUGAUGCAUGUCGUGUUGGGAAAGAUUCAUCGGUAUGGGAUGGGGUCGCGUCCUAUCAGGUAGUCGGCGGGGUAACGGCCCACCGAGCCUACGACGGGUAGCCGGCCUGAGAGGGCGACCGGCCACAUUGGGACUGAGAUACGGCCCAGACUCCUACGGGAGGCAGCAGUGGGGAAUAUUGCACAAUGGGCGCAAGCCUGAUGCAGCGACGCCGCGUGCGGGAUGACGGCCUUCGGGUUGUAAACCGCUUUUGACUGGGAGCAAGCCCUUCGGGGUGAGUGUACCUUUCGAAUAAGCACCGGCUAACUACGUGCCAGCAGCCGCGGUAAUACGUAGGGUGCAAGCGUUAUCCGGAAUUAUUGGGCGUAAAGGGCUCGUAGGCGGUUCGUCGCGUCCGGUGUGAAAGUCCAUCGCUUAACGGUGGAUCCGCGCCGGGUACGGGCGGGCUUGAGUGCGGUAGGGGAGACUGGAAUUCCCGGUGUAACGGUGGAAUGUGUAGAUAUCGG
rnacentral:rRNA from 1 species